rnacentral:rRNA from 1 species
GCUUCCAGGAAAAGCCCCUAAGCGCCAGGCCGCUGGGGCCCGUACCGCAAACCGACACAGGUGGUCGAGGAGAGCAUCCUCAGGCGCUCGAGUGAUCCGUGGCCAAGGAACUAGGCAAAUUCGGCCCGUAACUUCGGGAGAAGGGCCCCCCGCCCUCGGGCGGGGCGCAGCGAAGAGGCCCAGGCGACUGUUUAGCAAAAACACAGGGCUCUGCCAACCCGCGAGGGGAAGUAUAGGGCCUGACACCUGCCCGGUGCCGGAAGGUUAAGGGAGGCCGUCAGCGCAAGCGAAGCGGUUGACCGAAGCCCCGGUAAACGGCGGCCGUAACAAUAACGGUCCUAAGGUAGCGAAAUUCCUUGUCGGGUAAGUUCCGACCUGCACGAAUGGUGUAACGAUCUGGGCACUGUCUCGGCCACGGGCUCGGUGAAAUUGAAGCAUCGGUGAAGAUACCGAUUACCCGCCACGGGACGGAAAGACCCCGUGAACCUUUACUACAGCUUUGCACUGGGCUUGGGUACGGGAUGUGUAGGAUAGGUGGGAGGCUGUGAAGUGGGGGCGCCAGCCCCCGUGGAGCCGCCGUUGAAAUACCACCCUUCCCGUACUUAGGUCCUAACCCCUGCGAGGGGGGACACUGCAUGGCGGGUAGUUUGACUGGGGUGGUCGCCUCCCAAAACGUAACGGAGGCUCGCAAAGGUGCCCUCAGCACCGUUGGUAACGGUGCGCAGAGCGCAUGGGUAGAAGGGCGCUUGACUGGGAGGCCGACAGGCCGAUCAGGUGCGAAAGCAGGCCCAAGUGAUCCGGUGGUCCCGCAUGGAAGGGCCAUCGCUCAAAGGAUAAAAGGUACUCCGGAUAACAGGCUGAUCUCCCCCAAGAGCUCACAUCGACGGGGAGGUUUGGCACCUCGAUGUCGGCUCGUCACAUCCUGGGGCUGGAGAAGGUCCCAAGGGUUGGGCUGUUCGCCCAUUAAAGUGGCACGCGAGCUGGGUUCAGAACGUCGUAAGACAGUUCGGUCCCUAUCUGUGGUGGGCGCGGGAGCAUUGAGGGGAUCGGUCCCCAGUACGAGAGGACCGGGACGGACGGACCGCUGGUGUGCCGGUUGUGCCGCCAGGUGCAGCGCCGGGUAGCUAUGUCCGGGACGGAUAAGCGCUGAAAGCAUCUAAGUGCGAAGCCGGCCCCGAGAUGAGUGCUCCGUGGCAGCGAUGCC